AUGGUCUCAUCUCGAAAAAUUCUUCAACACCUACAGUAAAGAAGUUAGGGAACGCGAAGGGAAAUAGUCCUUAAAGAAACAAAUCAUAUGGUACUCACCGUGGUGUUUUGCUUCCCAUCUACCCUUCAACAGAUCUCGCCACUUACGCUUAUCGUAGGUCGAGCAAGCUACCAGUAUCCGAGUCCAAUCCCCCAGAUCAGGGACCUCGUAUGGCAACCACGGGAUUGCUGCAAAAAAGGAAAGAAAACACCUUUAUGGUGUUUGCCUCCACUAAGAAUAAAAAUGACAAAAAUCACAAGUGUACCACUUACGUGUGAAAUUCCAUUUCUCAGGGAAUGGAAUAAACUCUACGCGGAUAAUGUCA
rnacentral:lncRNA from 1 species